GGGGGAGAGCACGGAGGGAUCAUCAUUGUGUGUGAUGGAGGGAGACCUGCUGGCGGGAAGGAAUUAUUUUCAGCAUCUGGCCCUCCUUGGUCAAAAAAACUAUCAACCCCCCUGCUCGCUCCUUAUUUUAUGAGUGAAAGUAAGUAGUAGUAGGUGGUUCUUGUAGUAAAUAAUUAGAAGAAGGAAGGAAACGAAGGGUUGUUGGUUGGUUAGCCAUCCUUAAAAAAAGGAAACCGGGGGGGGUUCGGGGGGGGAAGGGGUGGGGUUGUUGCAACCAACCCCCCUAUAUUUUGUGUGAAUGAAAGUAUUGUUCUUGGUGGAAGAAAAUCCAUACAUCAUUAAACAAUGUAUUUGUUGGCUCUUGCAUGGAGGAAGCAGGCAAAGAAAUUAGAUAAGUAAAGUGACAGACAGAAUUCAGUGAUUCAUUGAAUGUUCGCACCCUCCGUGCGCCCGUAGUUAUUGGGAGGGGCAUGCCUGAGUGAGUGUCAUGUUUCUAUCAAAUCGUUUGUCUUUAAUUAAAGGAAGGGAGGGAGGGAUGGAGAGGGAGGUUUAUGGCUGCCCUCCGAAGGAAGUGGGUUGGUUCUUAUUACAUUCAUUGGGUGGGGUCUGGCUCGUGCGGUGGGAGUAAUAGUUGAUUUCGUUAACCAACGAGCGCUUACCGAGCGAGCUUGUUUCGGUCGGUCGUGGUUGGUCGGAGCAAGGAGUAGUUACCUCCUUUUUCUUGACACCUUGACCUCAAAUCAGGUAGAUGCCCAU
rnacentral:rRNA from 1 species